rnacentral:lncRNA from 1 species
ACGAAUCAAACGUGCCUAUAGUCGAGGGAGUCUAGAUGGACUUUUUCCUAAUAAUCUCGGUGAAGCAUCAGCAGCCCACGCAGCCCGUAUUGAAGCCCACCCGAUAAAUCUGGCGCGAAUCAUAAAUGGUGAGAACUCGGGUAGAUUGAGCCGCGCGCGGCGGCAGAAGGCAACGCGAAACCCUAAUCCCCAAAUUCGCUAUCUCUUGGCUCUGCCAUCGAAAUUCGAAACCCGCAUAGCUUUGGAGCAAGCCGAAUCUGCAACCAAUCCAUCAGAUUGGAGGGCGUGGCGCAGGGAAGGCGAUCGAUCGACCGAAGCCAUGCCCACCACCGCAGAGGAUCAGAAACAGUGGAAGGUGGUGGAAGUCCAGCGGAUCAAUGCGGAGUCCCAUCCCCCUCCUCGGCGUGACGAUAGGUGUGACGACCUCCGCAACGACGAGGAGUUCCAGCGUGUCAUGGACAACGUCGUCUUCGGCCGGGGUUAUGAUCCCACAAGAGAUGACCUCAGGAUCAGCACUGACCCUACUGCGAUGGUCGAGCUCAUAGAGUACUACCACAAGAUGGGUCUGAUAGAAGAAGUUGCUCAAAGAGGACUGGCAAUUGGCACCUGA